rnacentral:rRNA from 1 species
AUUGAACGCUGGCGGCAGGCCUAACACAUGCAAGUCGAGCGAGCGGCGGACGGGUGAGUAAUGUAUGGGGACUGCCCGAUAGAGGGGGAUAACUACUGGAAACGGUGGCUAAUACCGCAUACUAUCGGAUAACCCAUAUGGGAUUAGCUAGGGGGUGGGGUAAAGGCUCACCUAGGGGACGAUCUCUAGCUGGUCUGAGCGGAUGAUCCGCCAUACGGGGCCUGUGACACGGCCCAGACUCCUACGGAGGCCGCAGUGGGGAAUAUUGCACAAGGGGCGCAAGCCUGAUGCAGCCAGGCCGCGUGUAGGACGAAGGCCUUAGGGUUGUAAAGUACUUUCAUCGGGGAGUCGUUACCCGCAGAAGAAGCACCGGCUAACUCCGUGCCAGCAGCCGCGGUAAUAC